AUUGAACGCUGGCGGCAGGCCUAACACAUGCAAGUCGAACGAGUGGCGGACGGGUGAGUAAUGUCUGGGAAACUGCCCGAUGGAGGGGGAUAACUACUGGAAACGGUAGCUAAUACCGCAUACCAUCGGAUGUGCCAAGAUGGGAUUAGCUAGUAGGUGGGGUAACGGCUAACCUAGGCGACGAUCCCUAGCUGGUCUGAGAGGUUGACCAGCCACACUGGAACUGAGACACGGUCCAGACUCCUACGGGAGGCAGCAGUGGGGAAUAUUGCACAAGGGGCGCAAGCCUGAUGCAGCCAUGCCGCGUGUAUGAAGAAGGCCUUCGGUUUGUAAAGUACUUUCAGCGGGGAGGCGUUACCCGCAGAAGAAGCACCGGCUAACUCCGUGCCAGCAGCCGCGGUAAUUC
rnacentral:rRNA from 1 species